rnacentral:rRNA from 1 species
AUAUCAAUAAGCGGAGGAAAAGAAACCAACAGGGAUUGCCUCAGUAACGGCGAGUGAAGCGGCAAGAGCUCAAAUUUGAAAGCUGGCCCCUUCGGGGUCCGCGUUGUAAUUUGCAGAGGAUGCUUCGGGUGCAGCCCCCGUCUAAGUGCCCUGGAACGGGCCGUCAUAGAGGGUGAGAAUCCCGUCUGGGACGGGGUGUCUGCGUCCGUGUGAAGCUCCUUCGACGAGUCGAGUUGUUUGGGAAUGCAGCUCUAAAUGGGUGGUAAAUUUCAUCUAAAGCUAAAUACUGGCCGGAGACCGAUAGCGCACAAGUAGAGUGAUCGAAAGAUGAAAAGCACUUUGAAAAGAGAGUUAAACAGCACGUGAAAUUGUUGAAAGGGAAGCGUUUGCGACCAGACUCGCCCGCGGGGUUCAGCCGGCAUUCGUGCCGGUGUACUUCCCCGUGGGCGGGCCAGCGUCGGUUUGGGCGGCCGGUCAAAGGCCCUCGGAAUGUAUCACCUCUCGGGGUGUCUUAUAGCCGAGGGUGCAAUGCGGCCUGCCUGGACCGAGGAACGCGCUUCGGCUCGGACGCUGGCGUAAUGGUCGUAAAUGAC